CUCAGGGAGGUUAUGUAAUUUGUCCAAGGUCACACAGCAAAUAAAAAGCCAAACCAUAAGAGCCAGUGAUCUUAAGAGUGCUGACACUAUCCUGCCCCUCUGGAAGAAUCGCAGAGAUAGGAGAGAUGAAAACCACAGGCUUUCCCGGUGGCACUUACUGUGCUAGGAGUUUGAAUCUGAAAAUAGGCCUCCAGCGCUCGCUUUGGCAGCACAUAUACUAAAAUUAAAAACAGGCCUCUGACGGGAUCUCCGAUGAAAGGACAGCCAACCACCAGCUUUGGGAAUUUUUGAGAGCUCCUAAUCCAGAGUACCUUGGAAGCUCCCAAGGAAGGGGAGAAAGAAUGAAAAGGCAAAGCUUUAGGUUUUACCUCUUGACUACUACAAAAGACCGCGAAGAUUUAGCUCUUAUAUUGCCUUCCACAUCUUCCUGUGCCGCUUUUGUUUAUAUCAUCAAUCUGCAUUUACAAUAGUCCAACCACGAAAGAAAUUAUCCAAGCUGAAUCAGGAGUGUGCUAUGAUUAUAAUUCCUUUGCUAGAUGUUCUGCUUUUCCUGGGGAACUGUUAUCAGUUUCCACUCGGGAACACAGGACCCGGGACAGCAGUAUGUCAGCAGCACCUGGAUUUCUGAGUAGGGUCAUGGGAAAGGAUCACAGAUGAAGUAAACCUGAAGCCUUCCGAGUCUGUAACCUACUUGUGACAAAGCCUGAAAACGUCAUGUUGAUCCAUCCACCGAUAAGAAUCAUAGGCAGGACAUUGGUGACAUUGCCUUUCAUCAUGUCUGUGAGCAUGGUGGGAUCUAAGACAGAAAAACAAGCACCCAACAGCUGUUACCACAGUUGGUAGGGAUUUAUUCCUUGCUUUCUGUAACUUUUUACUUUACUUGAUAAAAUUAAUACAAGUAAUACAAGUUCAUUGUAAAAAAUUCAAACGACAUAGAAACACAGGAUGUGGACAGUUCCUCUGCCUACUGUCUAAACACUUUUAACUGUUG